rnacentral:lncRNA from 1 species
AAGAGAAGAAAAAAAGAAAUUGCAAUCUGCAUCGAUGGUCAAGAAUAUGACAGGUGUCGAGUACUAAGUAAGCUGUAUUGUAACAGUGGUGCACUAGCAUGCAGAAUAUAAUAGCUUAGAUUGCUAUCAUUAUCCCCUUUGUGGAUUAGGUAGUGCUCUCACUUCGCCUUCUCUACACAAACAAAACUGGUUCGCUAAGAGCUCCGACAAUGGCUGUCUGCGCAACUCACUCCUCUCUCAUGAUAGCAUACGCCGCAUCCAAGGACCUUACAAUUCCGUCUCUUUUCUCAUCUGCCAACCCAAGACCCAACAAGUUGAGCGUCGCACUCUAUCCCCCUCUUGUUCUCCUUGCGGGGAGAAGAGCUUCGAACCCAUCCUUCCCGGUGGUUGUCUCAGCCGUAGCCGCAGAGGCUGAUGUCGACACGGAGGACGCGGAGCAGAACGAAGCCACCUCCACCACCGCCACAGCCGUCCUCGAUCCGCCAAAGCCUAAGAAAGGAAAAGCAGCUUUGCUUCUCAAGAGAGAUAGAGUAUGCUUUGCUUAUCCAUCCUUUCCUUUACAAUCCCAAGCUCUAAACAUGAUUUUUUUUUCUUUCUAUGACGAUGAUGAUUCUUUUAUGUUUGUUUGUUUGUUACUCUCAUUUGGCAGACAAGGUCUAAGAGGUUUCUGGAAAUCCAAAAGCUAAGGGAAACCAAAAAGGAGUACGACGUCAAGACUGCUAUAUCUUUGCUUAAGCAAACCGCUAACACAAGGUUUGUGGAGUCGGUCGAAGCCCAUUUCCGUCUCAACAUCGAUCCUAAGUACAAUGAUCAGCAGCUGCGAGCAACCGUAUGGUUUUUUUUAUUUUGCUUUACAUAUAUGUAUAGCUUUGUGUUUCGUUGAAAUUUAAAUCUGAACGCAUUGUCUUUGGUAGGUGAGCCUUCCUAAAGGAACAGGGCAAACUGUUAAAGUGGCUGUUCUUGCACAAGGUAACUAAUUGCCCCCCCUCCCCUCCCCUCCCCUCCCCUCCCAAAUGCUAAGUUAGUCGGACAGUUCAUUCCAAGGGACUCUGUAGAAAAUACUUUGUGUGGUUGACCUUCUAUUAUUUUGUUUGGAUGGAUUGGUGUAUUUCUAUAGAGAAAAAUGUGCUGGGAUCAUUCUUUUCCUUUCUUUCUGUUUCUCUAAGUUAUUUCCAUGAUGAAUAAUAUCCAGGUGAGAAGGUCGAUGAAGCAAAAAAUGCAGGGGCAGAUAUUGUGGGCAGUGAUGAUUUGAUCGAACAGAUAAAAGGAGGGUUCAUGGAGUUCGAUAAGUUAAUUGCAUCCCCGGAUAUGAUGGUCAAGGUGUGUUUUUACUCAUUUGUUAAUAACAAAAAUAAACUUGAAUAGCUGUUACGACAUUCAUUCUUGGCAAAGAAUGUGACAUGAGACAAAUGUUGCUCGUCAUCUCUUAUUACUAAACCUUCUUUAACUUGGGCGGUUAGGUUGCUGGCCUGGGAAAGAUUCUUGGUCCACGAGGACUCAUGCCAAAUCCCAAGGCUGGUACCGUCACAGCUAACAUUCCACAGGUUAGCCUACUACUUACUCAGGCAGGCAAAAUCAUCUUCGGGUAAUCAAUCAUAGUAUAAUGAUGAUAUGCAUAAAUCUAUCUCAGGCUAUAGAAGAGUUCAAGAAGGGAAAAGUAGAAUUCAGAGCAGACAAAACUGGGAUUGUUCACAUUCCGUUUGGGAAAGUGAAUUUCACAGAGGAAGACCUGCUCGUAAACUUCCUUGCAGCAGUGGUAGGCUGAUUCUCCCCCAUUUAAUAACGUUGUUUAUCUCUUGUGCUGCUGAAUAAAAAGAGUGGAACGUAAAUGCAGAAAUCGGUGGAGACAAACAAGCCAAAGGGAGCAAAAGGAGUGUACUGGAAAAGCGCACACAUAUGUUCGUCAAUGGGGCCAUCCAUCAAGUUGAACAUAAGGGAGAUGAUAGACUUCAAGCCAUAAAUAACCACAUUUGUGUUUUUUUUUUUGUGAGUGUAGGCGAACACCAUUAGUUAUCUCUUGUAUACCUCACCGGUUGUAUCACCUUAACUCUGAUAAGACCAUUUGCUUUAUUGAUUAUUACUGUUAAAAUUGCGAGGCCUCUAUUGCCUUAAUGCCUGCCUUCACCACUGGAGAUGAGAGAACACACGAGUCUUUUUUUUUUUAAAUAAAAAAAAAAACAAAUAUCCUUGAAAUUGGAAGAUAAAAUGAGAUAAUUUCAUGAGGCCGUUACGUUGCGACGUGGCAGCGUUUUCUGCCAAGGAUACAAAGCUCGUGAGUGAGUGAAAAGGAAGGUUCGUAAUCCUUCCUUGCAAUCAAUCGAUCAUUCAUGGCGGAGAACUGCAUAGUUUCGGUCAACCCUAAACCCUCAAAGGGAUUAUCCUCUAAGCUUCUCGAUCUUGUGGAGAGAGUUGUUGUGAAGCUCAUGCACGAUGCUUCUCUGCCUCUCCACUACCUCUCCGGCAACUUCGCUCCCGUGCGGGAUGAAACUCCUCCGGUGAAGGAUCUCCCCGUCGUCCAUGGAUUUCUUCCAGUAAGUGAGCUCUUUAAUUUACACACUCCAUAUCCUUUUCCGAGGAAGGUUCUAAUUCGUCUUUUUUAUAUUUCCCAGGAGUGCUUGAAUGGUGAAUUUGUGAGGGUUGGUCCAAAUCCCAAGUUUGAUCCCGUCGCUGGAUAUCACUGGCAUGUCUAUCUUCUUCCAUUUGUAUUUUUUAUUUCUGCACUCUCCUCUUCUUCUUCUUCUUCUUCUUAUUAUUAUUGCUUCCCUUUCUUUUCAGGUUUGAUGGAGAUGGGUACGCCAACUAACUGUUUCUAUCGUCUCAUCAAACCCUAUGACCUGCUUAAUUCCUUUCUCUUUCAUUAUCUCUCACCCGAGAAUCUUCCUCUCACACACCUUCAUUAAUUACUUCAGGAUGAUACAUGCUGUACGCAUCAAAGAUGGGAAAGCAACUUAUGUUUCUCGUUAUGUUAAGACAUCACGCCUCAAGCAGGAAGAGUUUUUCGGAGCUCCCAAAUUCAUGAAGAUUGGGGACCUUAAGGGUCUUUUGGGAUUGCUUAUGGUCUAUCUCCAACAGCUCAGAACCAAACUGAAAGUUUUGGACGUCUCUUAUGGACAUGGAACUGGUUGGUUUGGUUGCUUCUUCCCUUUUACUUUCUCUCGUAGCUAAAAAAUAAAAAUAAAAUCUCGCUCUCUUUCUCCAUGUACCAGCUAAUACAGCCCUCGUCUAUCACCAUGGAAAACUUCUAGCUCUCUCGGAGGCAGAUAAGCCAUGUUAUUCUCUACUACCUUUUCGUUUUUCUUUUUUUUUAAUACAAAGUUAGCUCAGAUUUUUGAACUUAAUCUAUUUAGAGACCAAAUCUUCUGGUAUCUUGGCAGUGUUUUGCGUCAAUUUUUAACAUAAAAGAAAAGCUAGAUUGGAAGGUUUAUGUUUGCUAUCUUAUAACUUCAAAGCUUUUCGUUUGUAGAUGUCGUCAAAGUCUUGGAAGAUGGAGACCUUCAAACUCUUGGCAUGAUGGAUUAUGACAAGAGAUUGACCCACUCCUUCACUGCACACCCUAAAGUUGACCCAACUACCGGUAAGUCUUCCCUUAUCUCCUGACCCGCAAGCUACUUAUUCUGUUGACUCAUCAUGGUCGGACCCUCUCUUACAGGUGAAAUGUUUACAUUUGGCUAUUCGCAAACGCCACCUUAUCUCACCUACAGAGUGAUCUCGGAAGACGGCUUUAUGCAUGACCCUGUCCCAAUUACUAUAUCUGAGCCAAUCAUGAUGCACGAUUUUGCUAUUACUGAGACUUACGCAAUCUUCAUGGAUCUUCCUAUGCACUUCAGGCCAAAGGUACGUUGUUCAUCAAGUUUAUAUAUAUAUAUAGGUCACACAAGAGAUUUUUGCUUCCUAUAUACUUUUGUUGAAAUGCCACAAGAGAAGAUGAUUAUAUAGCAAAUAUGGAAACUCUUUUUUUUUUAUAUAUAUUUCCUUGUGAGAAUCCUAGAUUCAUGUGUAACUGAUUCUCUAGGAAAUGGUGAAAGAGAAGAAAAUGGUAUACUCAUUUGAUCCAACAAAAAAGGCUCGUUUUGGUGUUCUUCCACGCUAUGCCAAGGAUGAACUCAUGAUUAGAUGGUUUGAGCUUCCCAACUGCUUUAUAUUCCAUAACGGUGUGUGCUUUGCUAUGCUAUGUCUGUUCAAGGGAUCAUGUUGUCAAAAUUUCAUAUUCGAUAUAUACCAAUCAAACCUCUGUAAAUGGCUCCUUUUAAUUUUAUCCAGCCAAUGCUUGGGAAGAAGAGGAUGAAGUCGUCCUCAUCACUUGUCGCCUUGAGAAUCCAGAUCUUGACAUGGUCGGCGGGGAUGCGAAAGAAAAACUUGAGAACUUUAGCAACGAACUGUAAGAAUCACUGACCUGUUUUACUCUCUCGUAAACCAUAUGCUCUGUCUCAACUAUUUCUUUUGCAGGUACGAAAUGAGAUUUAACAUGAAAACGGGCUCAGCUUCUCAGAAAAAACUAUCGCCAUCUGCAGUUGAUUUCCCCAGAAUCAACGAGUGCUACACUGGAAAGUAUGAGUUCACCCUUGUCCUUGUGUGUUUGAUAUUUUAUGCAUUGUGUCCCUAGCAAGGAAAUGCAAUGUUUUCUUGUUUCUGUGGUGCGUUUUAGGAAACAGCGAUAUGUAUAUGGAACAAUCCUGGACAGUAUCGCCAAGGUUACAGGAAUUAUCAAGUUUGAUCUGCAUGCGGAAGCUGAGACAGGGAAAGAAAUACUGGAAGUAGGAGGCAAUAUCAAAGGAAUCUAUGAGCUGGGUCAAGGCAGAUACGGUUCAGAGGCUAUAUAUGUCCCUCGUGAGGCAGGGGAAGAAGAUGAUGGUUACUUGAUAUUCUUUGUUCAUGAUGAAAACACAGGGUAGUUAUUGCUCUCCUGCUAUAGUUUCGUAUUUCUCAAUUGUUCAUUUUGUCUUUCUGGUACAAUAAUAUGUUGAUUGAACAUUGGUAGGAAAUCAUGUGUGAAUGUGAUUGACGCAAAAACAAUGUCUGCUGAGCCAGUGGCAGUGGUGGAGCUGCCGCAUAGGGUUCCAUAUGGCUUCCAUGCCUUCUUUGUUACAGAGGUACUAAAACCAAAACCCAUAAUUAUAUAUAUCUUCUUUACAAGGGAUGCAACUCUAACCACCAGGGGGUCUUGUCUUGGCAGGAACAACUCCAGGAACAAACUCUUACAUAAGACAAGUUGUGUGCAUAAUUAUAUUAUAUGUUAUAUGCUACUAUGAAGACGUUGGAGAACCGAGAAAUUGGAUGAUUCAGACAUUCGUAUUACAUAUACUACAUGUAUAUUCAUUUGAAUGCCUCGUUUCUGUUUACAUAAGAAUUUACAUUUUCAUUUCAAUAGUAAACUAGGGUUCUUCUAUCUUCCUUGGCCUUUUGAAUUGAGGGAGAUUGGUGGCUUUCUCCUUUGUUCUUUACGUGCUCUAGGUUCAAGCAGCUUCAGUAGUACCCCCACCUCAAAUCUUGUAGUAAGCCUGUUUUCUUACUACCAGAAGAAUCGAACGAAGAGGGAAAAUAACAUUUGAAGGCUUGAUAGUAGAGUAGAGGGUGGGAGAACUGAACUAGAACCUUAAGGAUAGGGACCAUCCCCGUAUAUGGAUUUAGCUUAUAUGGUUGUAGCUAGCAUUUAGUAUAACAAUACGAGUGUUACAAUACACACAUAAACGAAAAUGUAAGUAGAAUGGAAAAUUACAUGUACAGAGAGGACUGAACAUGAGAGAGUAGUAUAGUGUGGACAUCAUCUUCUAUUAGACUAAUUUUUCUUCUUCUUCUUCUGAGUUUUCACUACACUAAAACAAUUAACUUAAUGGAGACAAUCAAUGGAUGCUGGGCUCCCCAAAGACCUCGCUGUUACAGACCGGGCAAAUCUGCAUUCCAUAGGCAUAGAGACGUUUCAGUUGAACUGAGGAUGUGAAACGAAGAACAUAUAAUGAAUAAUACCUUGUUGAUGCUUAGCCACUUAGAUAUGCAUUCGGAAUGAUACACGUGCUUGCACGGAAGAUUCAUCUGCUUCUCCCCAAUCUUGUACUUGAGCUGGCAUAUCACACACCUGAUCAUCAUCACACAAUGUUGAGUAUAAACCCUGUGAUGAACAUUUGUUAUAAGGUAGCUAGCUCUCUUUACCUAUCCCCUGCUCUUUUCCUGGAGAAGAAGCUCCCGAACUUAUAUUUUCUAGUGGGAAGCGUUUCUAUGAGUUCCUGAGAUAGCCCUCGGCUUUCUGAUCCUACCGCUUCCCCGAGCUCUAUUAAUUCCUGAUCCACAAAACCAUUUAGAUGCAAGUCAAGUGCCUCUCUUGACAAUCAAGUAAAAAGAAAAGAAAAGCUCACAAGGACUGGAACAAACCUCAUAGGUCAUUGUAUCCGGAUCAAUGUCGUCUUGCCAGGAUACCUGUGGCAUUAACGAGCAUAUAGAAUUCAUAUCAGUGUUUUAAAUCGCAAAGAUUGACACAGAUUCAAAAACCUUUCGAUCAGGUGCACAUACCUGAGGACUCUCGGGAUCAUGUUCAAUUGCAAUGCCUGUAAAAAUAGACAUAUUCUUAGCUUAGAAAAAUCCAACAAGGGAUAAAAAAAAAAAAAAGAAGAAGAUAAUCAGCAGAAAUAACUAACAUUCUUCAGCGUCAGAGUGAUCAUCCGUGUCCCCGACUUGGACAGAGCGUGGAACUGACUCAUCAACGUUUACCAUGGGAAGGUACUCCCAAUUGGUUCUCCCAAUUGACAUCCUGGAUAGAUGAUCGUUCAGGUCAUAAGAACCAUAGAAAGAAGCAUUAUCUGAUCCUGAGAAUCCAAACUUGUAUGCAUUUGUGUUCAUGGUCCAGUACAGGCUGUCCUGAGAAUAGGCAAAGUAAGGAAACUUAUGUAGGCAGACAUUGUAAGAUACAAAAACAAUAUUGAAGGCACAGGAAAGAAAGGGUGGAAAGUACCUGAUGAGGAUGCAUUGUUCCGGCAUGAGCAUAGUUUAGGGGAUCCUGAGCCGCACCACCAUAAAAGUCCAUGUAACUAGCAGAAGCCGCAUACGGGAAACCCGUCUCAGGGUAAUGAGAAUCUGGUCUAUCUCCAUUCAUUUCAGCUAUUGCUAUUGGAAGGAGAGAGUGAGAUGCGUUUAGAAGAAGCGGGAGGAGCGCUAAUGUUAAAAUAAAACAGACAAGAAAAAAGGUAAAAGCAUGGGAGGGGAAAGUGUUGAGCAAUGUCAGACUUAAGUGUCCUUGAGGUAAGUGAGUAGAUUUGAAAUCCAGCUUGAAAUACCUUACAAGAUACGAAUGAACGAACCCCUAUCACACAACUCCAGGGGGGAAAAUAAACAAAACUUUUGCCUAUUCAUGUUAAAAGGGUUGAAACAGAACAAGUCCAGGAAGCAGUAGAAGCCGAGGAGUAGUGACAGAUGUGUCACCGACAAUGGCUGUCUGCGCAACUCACUCCUCUCUCAUGAUAGCAUACGCCGCAUCCAAGGACCUUACAAUUCCGUCUCUUUUCUCAUCUGCCAACCCAAGACCCAACAAGUUGAGCGUCGCACUCUAUCCCCCUCUUGUUCUCCUUGCGGGGAGAAGAGCUUCGAACCCAUCCUUCCCGGUGGUUGUCUCAGCCGUAGCCGCAGAGGCUGAUGUCGACACGGAGGACGCGGAGCAGAACGAAGCCAC